UCUCUAUCCUAUCCCCCCUCGUGUCUUUGGGAGCACAUGCUUUGUUCAUAAUUUAGCCCCAUGGAAAGAUAAAUUAGCUCCUCGUGCCCUCAAAUGUGUCUUUCUUGGUUACUCUCGAGUUCAAAAAGGGUAUCUUUGUUAUUCACAUGAUCUUCAUCGAUACCUUAUGUCAGCUGAUGUUACAUUUUUUGAGUCUCAUCCUUACUAUACAUCUUCUGAUUAUCCUGAUGUAUCUAUGGUCUUACCUAUACAUCAGGUUUUACCUGUGCCAACCUUUGAAGAAUCUACGGUUACUUCUACAUCUCCAGUUGUAGUGCCACCACUACUAACUUCUCAUCGCCUUCCACGUCCAGCCCUAGUCCCUGAUGAUUCAUGUCAUGCACCAGACCCUACUCCUACUGCGGACUUGCCUCCUCCUAGCCAACCGCUUGCACUUCAAAAAGGUAUACAAUCCACUCGAAAUACUAACCCACAUUAUACCUUCUUAAGUUAUCAUUGUCUAUCAUCACCCAUUAUGCCUUUGUGUCGUCUUUGUCCUCUAUUUCCAUUCCUAAGACUACAGGUGAAACACUUUCUCAUUCUGGAUGGAGGCAUGCUAUAGUUGAUGAGAUGUCUGCUUUGCAUAAGAGUGGUACUUGGGAACUUGUCUCCCUUCCUGCAGGAUGCUGUAAUGUUUAAGAUCACGUCUGCAUCUCAGUUGUAGAUGAAUCUGGCGAGUCUCCAACAAUUGAUUUUUUGAAGGCUUACAUGGAUGAAGUGGGUGGGGUUAAGAAGGCAUGUUUAUAUGGUCUUGGUUCUCAAGCAGCUUUCUAUGAGAACGUUGGUUCAUCAUCUUCUUCAACUACUCAAUCUCAAGAUUGUGAUUUUGAUACUCGAGUGAAGGAGUACGUUCAAGAAAUGAAGGAGGAGAUGAAGGAUGAGAUGAGAGAAAAAUUGUGUGAAGAAAUGAAACAUGAAAUGCAGCUAGAAAUGCAAGAGCAAGUUGAUAAGAUUCUCCAAGAACAUUUGCCUAUCCUCAUAGCUGGCCUACCUAAACCACCCUGUGGUACACCACCCUUUGAUACACCAAAUUAGCUUAGACAUGACUCAUCAUCACAUAACAAUAUGGGUCAUUUAAAAUUUCCAACCUAUCUUAGGCAGAUUUUUCUUUCUUUGUUUCCAUAUUUGGAUUUAUUUUGAACUCUUUUUGUUAGGAUCUGCAUUGCUAAUUUCAAGUUAUAACUUGUCAAAGAAUUACUGUUUUUAUUAUGUUUCUGGGCUCUUUAAGAUUUGUAAAAGAUAUUUAUUGAUGUAAAUAUAUAAAGUGAAAUUUUACUAUCGAA